rnacentral:rRNA from 1 species
UACGAAGGGGGCUAGCGUUGCUCGGAAUCACUGGGCGUAAAGCGCACGUAGGCGGAUUGCUAAGUCAGGGGUGAAAUCCUGGAGCUCAACUCCAGAACUGCCCUUGAUACUGGCGGUCUCGAGUCCGGGACAGGUGAGUGGAACUGCGAGUGUAGAGGUGAAAUUCGUAGAUAUUCGGAAGAACACCAGUGGCGAAGGCGGCUCACUGGCCCGGUACUGACGCUGAGGUGCGAAAGUGUGGGGAGCGAACAGG